rnacentral:rRNA from 1 species
AAUAUUUGACAAUGGGCGAAAGCCUGAUCCAGCCAUGCCGCGAGAGUGACGAAGGUAUUCGGAUUGUAAAGCUCUUCUGGCGGGGACGUUACUCACGGACACCGCAAAAUAAGCUCCGGUUAACUUCGUGCCCGCACCCGCGGUAAUACGAAGGGGGCUAGCGUUGUUCGGAAUUACUGGGCGUAAAGCGCACGUUGGCGGAUUGUUAAGUUAGGGGUGAAAUCCCGGGGCUCAACCUCGGAACUGCCUUUGAUACUGGCAAUCUUGAGUCCGGAAGAGGUGAGUGGAAUUCCUAGUGUAGAGGUGAAAUUCGUAGAUAUUAGGAAGAACACCAGUGGCGAAGGCGGCUCACUGGUCCGGCACUGACGCUGAGGUGCGAAAGCGUGGGGAGCAAACAGG